rnacentral:rRNA from 1 species
UACGUAGGGAGCAAGCGUUGUCCGGAAUCAUUGGGCGUAAAGCGCGCGUAGGCGGCCCUGUAAGUCCGUUGUGAAAGUCAAAGGCUCAACCUUUGAAAGCCGAUGCAUACUGCAGGGCUAGAGUUCGGAAGAGGCGAGUGGAAUUCCUGGUGUAGCGGUGGAAUGCGCAGAUAUCAGGAGGAACACCAAUAGCGAAGGCAGCUCGCUGGGACGAUACUGACGCUAAGGCGCGAAAGCGUGGGGAGCGAACAGG